rnacentral:rRNA from 1 species
UACAGAGGGUGCGAGCGUUGUUCGGAAUUACUGGGCGUAAAGCGCGCGCAGGCGGCCUUUUAAGUCUGACGGUGAAAUGCCGGGGCUCAACCCCGUGCCCGCCGGAGAUACUGGGAGGCUGGAGACGAGUAGAGGCAAGCGGAAUUCCGGGUGUAGCGGUGGAAUGCGUAGAGAUCCCGAGGAACUCCUGUGGCGAAGGCGACUUUCUGGGCCUGCUUUGACACUCAGACGCGAAAGCAUGGGGAGCGAACGGG